UACGUAGGGGGCUAGCGUUGUCCGGAUUUAUUGGGCGUAAAGAGCGUGUAGGCGGCCAGGUAGGUCUGCUGUGAAAACUCGAGGCUCAACCUCGAGACGUCGGCGGAAACCAUCUGGCUAGAGUCCGGAAGAGGAGAGUGGAAUUCCAGGUGUAGCGGUGAAAUGCGUAGAUAUCUGGAGGAACACCGGUGGCGAAGGCGACAUCCUGGACCGGUAUUGACGCUGAGGCGCGAAAGCCAGGGGAGCAAACGGG
rnacentral:rRNA from 1 species